CGCCUUGCCAGCCCGCUCAGAAACUCAAAGGAAUUGACGGGGGCCCGCACAAGCGGUGGAGUAUGUGGUUUAAUUCGAUGCAACGCGAAGAACCUUACCUGGUCUUGACAUCCCGGAGACCCUUAGGAAACUAGGGGGUGCUUCCAUCUGGAAGAAUCUGGAGACAGGUGCUGCAUGGCUGUCGUCAGCUCGUGUCGUGAGAUGUUGGGUUAAGUCCCGCAACGAGCGCAACCCUUGCCUUUAGUUGCCAGCAGUUCGGCUGGGCACUCUAAAGGGACUGCCGGUGUUAAACCGGAGGAAGGUGGGGAUGACGUCAAGUCCUCAUGGCCUUUAUGACCAGGGCUACACACGUACUACAAUGGCCGAUACAAAGGGCAGCGACACUGCGAGGUGAAGCCAAUCCCGUAAAAUCGGUCUCAGUCCGGAUUGGAGUCUGCAACUCGACUCCAUGAAGUUGGAAUCGCUAGUAAUCGUGGAUCAGCAUGCCACGGUGAAUACGUUCCCGGGCCUU
rnacentral:rRNA from 1 species